rnacentral:rRNA from 1 species
GUUUGAUCAUGGCUCAGAUUGAACGCUGGCGGUAUGCUUUACACAUGCAAGUCGAACGGCAGCAUAGGUGCUUGCACCUGAUGGCGAGUGGCGAACGGGUGAGUAACAUAUCGGAACAUGUCCGGAAGUGGGGGAUAACGUAGCGAAAGUUACGCUAAUACCGCAUAUGCCCUGAGGGGGAAAGGGGGGGAUCGCAAGACCUCUCGCUUUCGGAGUGGCCGAUAUCGGAUUAGCUAGUAGGUGAGGUAAAGGCUCACCUAGGCGACGAUCCGUAGCUGGUCUGAGAGGACGACCAGCCACACUGGAACUGAGACACGGUCCAGACUCCUACGGGAGGCAGCAGUGGGGAAUUUUGGACAAUGGGCGCAAGCCUGAUCCAGCCAUACCGCGUGAGUGGAGAAGGCCUUCGGGUUGUAAAGCUCUUUCAGCCGGAAAGAAAUCGCUCUGGUUAAUACCUUGUGUGGAUGACGGUACCGGAAGAAGAAGCACCGGCUAACUACGUGCCAGCAGCCGCGGUAAUACGUAGGGUGCGAGCGUUAAUCGGAAUUACUGGGCGUAAAGCGUGCGCAGGCGGUUUUUUAAGCCAGAUGUGAAAUCCCCGGGCUCAACCUGGGAACUGCAUUUGGAACUGGAAGACUAGAGUGUAGCAGAGGGGGGUAGAAUUCCACGUGUAGCAGUGAAAUGCGUAGAUAUGUGGAGGAAUACCAAUGGCGAAGGCAGCCCCCUGGGUUAACACUGACGCUCAUGCACGAAAGCGUGGGGAGCAAACAGGAUUAGAUACCCUGGUAGUCCACGCCCUAAACGAUGUCAACUAGGUGUUGGGGAAGGAGACUUCUUUAGUACCGCAGCUAACGCGUGAAGUUGACCGCCUGGGGAGUA